rnacentral:lncRNA from 1 species
GUGAUGUCAUACUUUGGUGGGAAGGUGCAUAGAGAAUAAUAGCCUGAGUGUCGAGGGAAGUGGCCUGGAGGUGACAAUCUUUACCACAAACUCCCCUGAUGGACUUCCGAGCCUGGACUUCAAGGGAGGGCUUACACAUACACUGACAUCCGUGGCUAACUUUUCACCCCUGUCUGGUGUCCUCUGGGUCUCCAUGCUCUGCUUCUAGCUGGUGCAGAGUCUCUUUACUCACAGUAGGAAGACACCUUGAGGUUGCCUCUCUUGCUCCUUUCUAGAACCAUGGAUUCCUCGGUGGCAUUGUGUCGGCUCCUCCUGACCCCUGUGUCCCACCCAAAGUCACAAUUUAUUUCUGCCAUACUUGGGGACUAAGGACUCAGGUAGCAGCUGCUUCCCAUCUAGGGAGUCGACUACAAAGCCCCACUGUUGGCAGAUUCUUCAACAUGAGCCUCUAGGAGUCAUUGUGCCCUCUCUUUCUUUGCAGUCCAUUAGAGACAAAUUUCAGAGCGGAGGUGUAUGUGUGUGGGUGGCUUGUCUCCAUCAGACCCAAGUUUUCUACCUCCUCUCCCUCUGCUUCUGCCAUGUUGGCAAGGAAAAAGCUCUUCAAGCAGGAGGCUCACAUCUUUUGAUUCCCUCUUAGACUUUUGGGUACAUAAAUGACAAGCUUUUGAUCCCUUUGUUCUAGGCUUCCAUGGUGACAGCUCUCCCCAAGGACAGCAAGAGGUGGGAAGAAACUGUGAGGGAGGAGGAAGUCCAAAAUAUCAAAACACUGCUCACACCCACGCAUUGGAAGAGAUGCCGUUUCUUAUGGAGGUCACAGAGAAUGAGGUCAGCCUUUGGACUCAGGUGUCACACUCGGGACCACCGCUGCUAAAUGCUCAAAGGGAAUCGGAAGGAAGCCAGCUGCUGAAGGCGAAGGCAGUUCGCAGGUAAUGGACGGUUUCAGUGGCUCCCUUCUGGCAGAGAACUACAACACAGACCUCACAGGGAGAGAAGGCUUGCAGGCUCAGUCUCCUCUCCCCUACCCCCUGCUUUUGUGGCUUUUGUCCCUUUGACCUUCUUUACAAACUUUAAUUAGCAGACUUUAUUCUUUUGAACAGUUUUAAGUUUGCACGCACACAAAGGGUAGAAGCUACAGAGUCCCUCUCUGUGCCCACCCCCACCUCUCUAUUACUCACAGUUUGCAUCCCUGUGAUACCUUUGGGACAAAUGAAGCCUGGGUAUGGACACACCAUCAUUAGCUGGAGGCCAGGGUUUCCAUUAAAGCUCAUGCUGCUCUGAUAACUCAUAUAUAAAUAUAGUGGUCUAUAGGAGGCUUGCUGUCUGAAACACACCUUGUGUAACAUCAAGAACUAGGGACAAGGAAAGGGUACUGAGAGGCAAAUGUGAGCAAAUAAAAUGAUAUGUGUGUGUAAAAAUGUCA